rnacentral:rRNA from 1 species
UACAGAGGGUGCAAACGUUGUUCGGAAUUACUGGGCGUAAAGCGUGUGUAGGCGGUCUCAUAAGUCGGAUGUGAAAGCCCCGGGCUCAACCCGGGAAGUGCAUGCGAAACUGCGAGGCUAGAGUAUCGGAGAGGUUGGUGGAAUUCUCGGUGUAGAGGUGAAAUUCGUAGAUAUCGAGAGGAACACCGGUGGCGAAGGCGGCCAACUGGACGAAUACUGACGCUGAGACACGAAAGCGUGGGGAGCAAACAGG